rnacentral:sRNA from 1 species
UGUUCCAUCGGUUACGGAUCACGCCAAG